rnacentral:rRNA from 1 species
GACGAACGCUGGCGGCGUGCUUAACACAUGCAAGUCGAACGGAAAGGCCCCUUCGGGGGUACUCGAGUGGCGAACAGGUGCGUAACACGUGAGUAACCUGCCCUUGACUUCGGGAUAACUUCAGGAAACUGGGGCUAAUACCGGAUAGGAAUCCUUGCUGCAUGGUGGGGGUUGGAAAGCUUCAGCGGUUUUGGAUGGACUCGCGGCUUAUCAGCUUGUUGGUGGGGUAGUGGCUUACCAAGGCUUUGACGGGUAGCCGGCCUGAGAGGGCGACCGGCCACAUUGGGACUGAGAUACGGCCCAGACUCCUACGGGAGGCAGCAGUGGGGAAUAUUGCACAAUGGGCGGAAGCCUGAUGCAGCAACGCCGCGUGCGGGAUGACGGCCUUCGGGUUGUAAACCGCUUUCAGCAGGGGCGAAGCUUGUGGUGACGGUACCUGCAGAAGAAGCACCAGCUAACUACGUG